rnacentral:rRNA from 1 species
AAAUUGAAGAGUUUGAUCAUGGCUCAGAUUGAACGCUGGCGGCAGGCCUAACACAUGCAAGUCGAACGGUAACAGGAAGCAGCUUGCUGCUUUGCUGACGAGUGGCGGACGGGUGAGUAAUGUCUGGGAAACUGCCUGAUGGAGGGGGAUAACUACUGGAAACGGUGGCUAAUACCGCAUAACGUCGCAAGACCAAAGAGGGGGACCUUCGGGCCUCUUGCCAUCAGAUGUGCCCAGAUGGGAUUAGCURGUUGGUGAGGUAACGGCUCACCAAGGCGACGAUCCCUAGCUGGUCUGAGAGGAUGACCAGCCACACUGGAACUGAGACACGGUCCAGACUCCUACGGGAGGCAGCAGUGGGGAAUAUUGCACAAUGGGCGCAAGCCUGAUGCAGCCAUGCCGCGUGUAUGAAGAAGGCCUUCGGGUUGUAAAGUACUUUCAGCGGGGAGGAAGGUGUUGURGUUAAUAACCGCAGCAAUUGACGUUACCCGCAGAAGAAGCACCGGCUAACUCCGUGCCAGCAGCCGCGGUAAUACGGAGGGUGCAAGCGUUAAUCGGAAUUACUGGGCGUAAAGCGCACGCAGGCGGUCUGUCAAGUCGGAUGUGAAAUCCCCGGGCUCAACCUGGGAACUGCAUUCGAAACUGGCAGGCUUGAGUCUUGUAGAGGGGGGUAGAAUUCCAGGUGUAGCGGUGAAAUGCGUAGAGAUCUG